rnacentral:rRNA from 1 species
CCUACGGGAGGCAGCAGUGAGGAAUAUUGGUCAAUGGGCGGGAGCCUGAACCAGCCAAGUCGCGUGAGGGACGACGGUCCUAUGGAUUGUAAACCUCUUUUGUCGGGGAACAAAGGCGUCCACGGGUGGGCUGAUGAGUGUACCCGCAGAACAAGCAUCGGCUAACUCCGUGCCAGCAGCCGCGGUAAUACGGAGGAUGCGAGCGUUAUCCGGAUUUAUUGGGUUUAAAGGGUGCGUAGGCGGACAGUCAAGUCAGCGGUAAAAAUGCGGUGCUCAACGCCGUACAGCCGUUGAAACUGGCAGUCUGGAGUGGGCGAGAAGUAUGCGGAAUGCGUGGUGUAGCGGUGAAAUGCAUAGAUAUCACGCAGAACUCCGAUUGCGAAGGCAGCAUACCGGCGCCCUACUGACGCUGAGGCACGAAAGCGUGGGUAUCGAACAGGAUUAGAUACCCCUGUAGUC